GAUGAACGCUAGCGACAGGCUUAACACAUGCAAGUCGAGGGGCAGCAAGAAUUGUAGCAAUACAAUUUGUUGGCGACCGGCGCACGGGUGAGUAACGCGUAUGCAACCCACCUAUCAGAGGCGGAUAGCCCGGUGAAAGCCGGAUUAAUACCGCAUAAAACAGGGGUCCCGCAUGGGAAUAUUUGUUAAAGAUUAAUUGCUGAUAGAUGGGCAUGCGUUCCAUUAGUUAGUUGGUGAGGUAACGGCUCACCAAGACAUCGAUGGAUAGGGGUUCUGAGAGGAAGGUCCCCCACACUGGUACUGAGACACGGACCAGACUCCUACGGCAGGCAGCAGUGAGGAAUAUUGGUCAAUGGACGAGAGUCUGAACCAGCCAAGUCGCGUGAAGGAUGACUGCCCUAUGGGUUGUAAACUUCUUUUAUGUGGGAAUAAAAAAGGGAACGUGUUCCCUAUUGCAUGUACCACUAUGAAUAAGCAUCGGCUAACUCCGUGCCAGCAGCCGCC
rnacentral:rRNA from 1 species